AACAUUUCCCUCCAAAACACUUCCGGCCCAACUCUUCUAUUACUUAUUACCAUUUCUCUUCUUUCUCCUAUAAUAUUUAACACAUAUCCCUCUUCAAGUUCCAUAAGGCUACUAGUACUUUUAAUGUGGUCUAUAGGGUACUCCUUUCUGAGUCUCAAGUUGUGUGCACACAUGGUUCAGCUUUGAUUCUAAUUGUUAUUGACUCAGGAGAAUCACA
rnacentral:misc_RNA from 1 species